CCUACGGGUGGCUGCAGUGAGGAAUAUUGGUCAAUGGGCGAGAGCCUGAACCAGCCAAGUCGCGUGAGGGAAGACGGUCCUAUGGAUUGUAAACCUCUUUUGCCGGGGAGCAAAAGACGGUACGUGUGGCGCACCGAGAGUACCCGAAGAAAAAGCAUCGGCUAACUCCGUGCCAGCAGCCGCGGUAAUACGGAGGAUGCGAGCGUUAUCCGGAUUUAUUGGGUUUAAAGGGUGCGCAGGGGGACAAUAAAGUCAGCGGUAAAAUUGAGGGGCUCAACCCCUACGAGCCGUUGAAACUGGUUUGCUAGAGUGUGUGAGAAGUAUGCGGAAUGCGUGGUGUAGCGGUGAAAUGCAUAGAUAUCACGCAGAACUCCGAUUGCGAAGGCAGCAUACCGGCGCUCAACUGACGCUCAUGCACGAAAGUGUGGGUAUCGAACAGGAUUAGAUACCCGUGUAGUC
rnacentral:rRNA from 1 species